CAUGUUAUGAUGAUACCAACUCAGCUCACUCAGAGUCUUACAAUGCUGAGAAUUUCGUUUCCAACAUUCAUCAACCUAUCUGAGCAUG
rnacentral:snoRNA from 1 species